AACUUUGGUAUUAUCACCACCGACUGAAGAGGAAGUGAGUGAUCAGCUCAUUUGGAGUACCAACAGAGAGAGUGAGAGAGAGAACUCUGCAAUUUUUCCUUAGGCAGCAACAACCGAAAGAGAAAACAGAGCAUCCUAAUAGCUUUCCCAUUUCUGCAUUCUUUAACCGACCAAAAUUGAGAGCUAAAGUGAAGGAUAGGAAGAGAAACUUUGUUAGUUUCUUCACUGAUUAGCUUCAACCGAGAGGAAGAGUGAAAGCUGCUGCAAUUUUAGGAGAAACCGAAGCUAGGAGCAGGAGCAAUCUGCC
rnacentral:lncRNA from 1 species